rnacentral:lncRNA from 10 species
CUGGAGUAGGCGCUUCCGGCCAUUCAUACUGCAGUCGGUCAGUGUUCGGUUGAAGGAUUCUGUGUGCUGUCGGACCCAGAGGGUGACGGCGCCGCUAGGAUGAAGCUCGUGAGGUGUGGAUGUCAGCAUGAAUACACAUCUUAAAGCUGUGAAAAUGACCCUGAAGAACAGAGAACCUGUACAGCUGGAAACGCUGAGUAUUCGAGGAAAUAACAUUCGGUAUUUUAUUCUACCAGACAGUUUACCUCUGGAUACACUACUUGUGGAUGUUGAACCUAAGGUGAAAUCUAAGAAAAGGGAAGCUGUUGCAGGAAGAGGCAGAGGAAGAGGAAGAGGAAGAGGACGUGGCCGUGGCAGAGGAAGAGGGGGUCCUAGGCGAUAAUGUCUCUCAAGAUUUCAAAGUCAUAUGAGAUUUGGGAUAUUUUUUGUACAGGUUGUGUUUGUUUAUGUCAGUUUUUAAUAAACAUAAAUGUGGGACAGAGCUGUCUAUUUAGUAUAUCAAAGUUUUAGUAGUUUCCUCCACAUUCACGAAAUUACCACAGUGAGAGCUAAGCAUUUCUACUGGGCAGUUUCAUUUUUAGUUGAUCAGGUUUUAAGUUUUUGAACUAAAAUUUUUCUUUUUCUUUUUAUGAUGAAUAAGGUUAAAAUAAAAGCCUUAGACAAAUUAAAUUUGGCAGAGUUUAAUUGAGCAAAGGACAAUUCACAAAUCAGGUAGCCCCUGAA